rnacentral:rRNA from 1 species
CGCGUAUACAAUCUACCUUUUACAGGAGGAUAGCCUUUAGAAAUGAAGAUUAAUACUCCAUAGUAUAUAUUAAUGGCAUCAUUAUUAUAUUAAAGUUUCGGCGGUAAAAGAUGAGUAUGCGUUCUACUAGCUAGAUGGUGUGGUAACGGCAUACCAUGGCAACGAUAGAUAGGGGCCCUGAGAGGGGGAUCCCCCACACUGGUACUGAGACACGGACCAGACUCCUACGGGAGGCAGCAGUGAGGAAUAUUGGACAAUGGAGGCAACUCUGAUCCAGCCAUGCCGCGUGCAGGAAGACUG